ACUCAUUUCACGAGCUCUAGUCUCUCAUCUUCAUCUUCAACCACAGUUUUCAGUUUUUGUUCUUCCAUUUCUUGUUUUGAAAUCACCUUUCUCUUUGGACUUUUUGGAUUGUUCGGAUGUCUAUGUCUCCUCUCCAUUAUUGGCUCUGACACUUUUUCAAGGGACCAAGCCUCAGCUCGCCAAAUCGGAUCAUCUCGACCUCUCCAAAUUCCAAUAUCAAAGGAACCUCUAUCUCGACAAGUCAUCGUCUUGGCGGAAACGACAGCCGAGGACCUCCCCGGUUGUUCUAGAGUACUGCACAACGCUAGUGACUUGUCUUCUUCAAUUGUGGAGGAAGAUGGAGAUUUCGCCGCAUCGUCAUCGUUGUUGUUUGGUUUGGACUUGGGAUUUUUGAUCUUUUGCUUCAAUUAUGUGUUUCUCUUCGGAUUUUAGUUAAUUUGAGGAAUGUAUUUUAAGCUUUGAUAAUCAAUUUAUCAUUACUAUUUAGGUUAUGGAUCUCAUUUUUGUUUAACAAUCUAUUUCUAUGAUAGAGUAUUAACAAGAUAGUUAUAUGACAUAGUA